AAAAAAAGUCAGCCACUUUGUUAUCUUUCUCAAUCUGCAUCUUCUCCAAAAUCUCCCAUGUAAGUUCAUCCUAAAACAAAAAUGUCAAAGAAAGGUAGGGAAAUUCCAAGAAAAAAGAAAAAAGAUUUGUCCAUGAGGAAGACGAUUUUCAUGCUCCUUCAUUCAAUAUAUUGUCACAGUCUGAAACUCAAAAAUCAAAGGGAAAAAAAAAAGAGCCAAAGGAAAGAGGCAAGAAGAGGAAAGGAAAAGAAAAUGUAACAUCGUCAGAAUCCGAUUCUGACUUUGUUGAUGUAGUAAAAAAUACAAAAUCAAAAAAAUCAAAAGGCGUUGAAAUUGGUCGUUCACCAACGAAGUCUUCAAAAAAAGAUGCAGAGAUUCAAGAAAAAAAUGAAACAAAACAAGUUGAUAAGGAGAAGAAGGUUCAAAAACAUUUAUCUUCAUGUAUCAACAUGAAUGUGUUCGCUGAUUUGUUGACCUUCCUCGGUCAAGAUAAGUUCAACAAUUUUUACAAGAAACUCCAUUUGAAUAUUUUUAUGAUUUACAUAACAUACAGAUCCAAUGUCAAUUGUUGCGCCAUAUUUUUCUUCUUGAAUCUGAAAAUGACAGGGAUGAUAUGUUCAGUAUCAAUGUAAAUGGUACAGAGUUACAUUUUGAUUUAAAAGAGUUUGUCACUGUAAUCGGUCUAAAAUCUGGUCCAAUUUCUGAUUUUAUUUCUGAUCCAUCUGUUCCAAAUAGAUUAAUUUCAGAAAUUUUUGGAGAAAUGGACAAAGUCCCAAAGUCAAAUUUUUACAACAAGUUUAAAUUGGAAAACUUUUGGAAAGAACAUGAUCGUUUAAAAAUCGAAAUUCUGUACUUCAUUUCGUCAUUCCUAACUGCAUCAGACCCUUCAAAAACAACAAUUCCCAAGUUAUAUUUUGAUUAGUAGAGUCUGGCCAGUAUGCUCCAUGGGCGAAUGAAUGUUUUAAUUUAACACUUAAAGCGUGCACUGAAAAAUUCAAAAAUAAUCCUUCGUCGUUCAAGUUUAGCCAGUUUCAUAUAGCAUUGCAGGUACGAUUUUAGGAGUGUUGUCAUCCAUUUGACAACACAAUUGCUAUCCAUGCUUCAAAUCGCACACCGCAUAUCUUGAACUGGAAGACAACAAAUGACGUUAUUUUUUUUGAUGAUUUGAAGAAAACGAUUUUCUGAACAGAUGGCAAUCAGCAUAAAUUCAGAAAUAUGAUUUUUACUAAAGAAGAGUUAAAUGUCAUGGAUGAGACCAUUUUAAAUCAAUCUCCCACUCAACAAGAUUCUGAAGAGCAAGGAACAUCGGUAAAAUAGGGCAUUGAAGUUGAAGAAAAAUACGCUGAGUUGAAAGCAGAAAUUGCAGAGGUUAAGGCGGAAUUGAAAGAGCUCAAAGCUAAUGUUGACAAGCACAUGGUUGAAAUAAAGAAUUACGUUGAUAAUUCGACUAAGCUGAUAAUUGAAGAAAUUAGAUUGUCAAGAGGUCAACAACGGGAUGAUGCCACUCCAAAUGUUGCACAAUCCGAAGAGAUUAGAUUGUCAAGAGGUCAACCAACAUCGGAUGCACAACAACGGUUCAAACUGCUUUUUAAUUUAUGAUGAUGUCACUCCAAAUGUUGGACACUCUGAAGAGAUUAGAAUGUCAAGAGGUCAACCAACUUCGGAUGCACAACAACAGAUGAAGGUCAAAAGUCAAUUGGUGAAUUUUUCAAUGCCGACUUACCUGGAUCAUCGACUUCAAAAUCACCUACUUUGGAUAAUUACUCUGAUUUUACCAUGACACAAAUCAUUGCACUUGAUCCAAUUUUAAACGCUAUCACAACACCAGAUGUGCAAACAAGACACAUGAAUCCCGACAAAUAUGAAUCUUCUCCUUAUAUUCUACUGUCGGAAGCCGAAAGCAGUUCGAAGAAAGUUCCAAUUUUUUUCACAAUAAAACAUUCGCAAGUCACAGUGGAUUUGAUCUUCCAGCUGAUAUGAUUAACCAGUUCAACAAAUGGCUUAUGAAAGACAUUUCAAAAAGGCGUGGCAGAUAUGGAUAUAUAUAAAUCAUAUUAUUUUAUUUUUUUUAACAAUAUGAAAUUCAAUACAACAUUUAUUGCAAUAUUCACAGGAAAUAAGUAUAUACAAAGGUGAAAAAUGUCUUUCAUCCUCAAAUGGACUUUGGCGUUGUCAAAAUUGCAGAAAAAGAUUUUUUCCACGUAAUGAGUCAACUGGGCAGACCUUGGGAGGAUGGAGUAAGACAACUAAUGUAUUAUUAAUGUAUGAAUUAUGAAUGAUAUAAAAUUAAAUUUACAAUAAGUUUGUAUGAAAUGUAUAUGAAAAAUGUA